rnacentral:rRNA from 1 species
AGGGGAAUAUUGCACAAUGGGGGAAACCCUGAUGCAGCGACGCCGCGUGAACGAAGAAGGUAUUCGUAUCGUAAAGUUCUGUCCUAUGGGAAGAUAAUGACAGUACCAUAGAAGAAAGCUCCGGCUAAAGACGUGCCAGCAGCCGCGGUAAUACGUAUGGAGCGAGCGUUGUCCGGAAUUAUUGGGCGUAAAGGGUACGCAGGCGGUUUAAUAAGUCGAAUGUUAAAGAUCGGGGCUCAACCCCGUAAAGCAUUGGAAACUGAUAAACUUGAGUAGUGGAGAGGAAAGUGGAAUUCCUCGUGUAGUGGUGAAAUACGUAGAUAUUAGGAGGAAUACCAGUAGCGAAGGCGACUUUCUGGACACAAACUGACGCUGAGGUACGAAAGCGUGGGGAGCAAACAGG